rnacentral:rRNA from 1 species
ACUCCUAGGGAGGCAGCAGUGGGGAAUCUUGCGCAAUGCGCGAAAGCGUGACGCAGCAACGCCGCGUGGAGGAAGACGGUCUUCGGAUUGUAAACUCCUUUCAGUUGGGACGAAGCUCAACGGGUUAAUAGCUCGGUGGAGUGACGGUACCUUCAGAAGAAGCCCCGGCUAACUACGUGCCAGCAGCCGCGGUAAUACGUAGGGGGCUAGCGUUGUCCGGAAUCAUUGGGCGUAAAGCGCGUGUAGGCGGUCCGGUAAGUCCGCUGUGAAAGUCGGGGGCUCAACCCUCGAAUGCCGGUGGAUACUGUCGGGCUAGAGUGCGGAAGAGGCGAGUGGAAUUCCUGGUGUAGCGGUGAAAUGCGCAGAUAUCAGGAGGAACACCAAUUGCGAAGGCAGCUCGCUGGGACGUAACUGACGCUGAGACGCGAAAGCGUGGGGAGCAAACAGGAUUAGAUACCCUGGUAGUCCACGCUGUAAACGAUGGGCACUAGGUGUGGGGGGUGUCGACUCCCUCCGUGCCGAAGCUAACGCAUUAAGUGCCCCGCCUGGGGAGUACGGCCGCAAGGCUAAAACUCAAAUGAAUUGACGG